GGGUGUGAGGGCUAUCUGGCUGCAACAUCUGUCACGCCAUUGAUCACCAGGGUUGAUUCGGCUGAUCUGGCUGGCUGCGCGGGUGUCCCCUGCCUCCCUCACCCGCUCCCUGUGCGUCCCUCCUGAAGCUGUGCGCUCGGUCAAAGAGGACGACUUUCCCUGAAUAGAGGAGGACUGGUCUUCAGUCAAGGGUAGUUAGUCAUCCUUGUGUUACUAUAAGAAACAGUUCGUAUAAUCACAGGAGGUUUUAGUCCAUG
rnacentral:sRNA from 1 species